rnacentral:rRNA from 1 species
AUUGAACGCUGGCGGCAUGCUUUACACAUGCAAGUCGAACGGUAACAGGCCGCAAGGUGCUGACGAGUGGCGAACGGGUGAGUAAUGCAUCGGAACGUGCCCAGUCGUGGGGGAUAACGCAGCGAAAGCUGCGCUAAUACCGCAUACGAUCUCUGGAUGAAAGCGGGGGACCGAAAGGCCUCGCGCGAUUGGAGCGGCCGAUGUCAGAUUAGGUAGUUGGUGGGGUAAAGGCCCACCGAGCCAACGAUCUGUAGCUGGUCUGAGAGGACGACCAGCCACACUGGGACUGAGACACGGCCCAGACUCCUACGGGAGGCAGCAGUGGGGAAUUUUGGACAAUGGGCGCAAGCCUGAUCCAGCAAUGCCGCGUGCAGGAAGAAGGCCUUCGGGUUGUAAACUGCUUUUGUACGGAACGAAACGGUCCGGGUUAAUACUCUGGGCUAAUGACGGUACCGUAAGAAUAAGCACCGGCUAACUACGUGCCAGCAGCCGCCGUAA